UAACGGAUAAAAGCUACCCCGGGGAUAACAGGCUUAUCUUCCCCAAGAGUCCAUAUCGACGGGAAGGUUUGGCACCUCGAUGUCGGCUCAUCGUAUCCUCCCGCUGAAGUAGGCGGGAAGGGUUGGGCUGUUCGCCCAUUAAAACGGUACGCGAGCUGGGUUCAGAACGUCGUGAGACAGUUCGGCCUCUAUCCGGUGUAAGCGUUUGAUAUCUGAGGGGGGUCACCACUAGUACGAGAGGACCGUGGUGAGCGAACCUCUAGUGUGCCAGUUGUCGCAUCAGCGGCAGUGCUGGGUAGCCACGUUCGUAACUGAGAAGCGCUGAAAGCAUCUAAGCGCCAAACAGGCCCCAAGACUAGAUAUCUUAGAUCCCUGGAAGACUACCAGGUUGAUAGGCGGCAAGUGUAAAGGCAGUAAUGUUUGU
rnacentral:rRNA from 1 species